GUCUGUCUCAUGAUUCCGGCGUUUUUGGUUUUAGUCGAGGUUCACACCAAUUUGUUUUGAAGUCUAUUAGAAGGAUCUUGAAGUAGAUACAAAUUACAGUUGAAUAUAUUGGCAUUUUAAGCGAAGAUAAGGCCAGCGUUGAUAUGUAUAAUGAUGUAAAUGCUGGAAUUAGCUCUGAAAGUUCAGAGUAUGAUGAACCUUCAGGAGAUGAUAAAGAGAGUGAAACCAUAGAAAGUGAACCUGAUGAAGAUAUCAGUGAUAUUAGAGAUUUACUUCAAAAUAAUAUUGGUGGAAAUCCUCAUAAUCAAUUUGGCCAUGGUGUGUCCGAAAUUCCAUAUCAUUAUACACCCUGCUUUACCACAUUGGAGAACGAGGAAGAUAUUUUCAUCUCUGCAUGAGAAUUUGAGAUGGGAUGUUGUUCAGUUUGGUCCGAGGAUGCCAAAAGAGACUAGGAAAAAAUAUGUAUUUUAGCAGCAAAGCAAAGAUGAAAUAGGCUGUGACGAUUUGGAGUUUGCACAAGAAUAAAGAGUUCGAGGUGGUAACGUCAAACAAGAGUCUAUGGGUUGUGAGAUACAGGUUUUAUAAUUUAUUAGGUUGUCCAUGGUUUCUUCGAGGCCGAAGGUUGGAAAUAACCUUUGGAAGAUAGGAUAUUAUGUUGAUAAUCAUAGAUAUGAGACUGAUGGGCUUACGA